rnacentral:lncRNA from 1 species
UAACCUUGACCAGAGUUAACCACACCCUAAGAACCUUAACCUUUCCUUUAAGCCUUUGUUUUAAUUCUAAGUGGAAGGCCUAUUUUUUUGGGAUUAAGCUUUAAGAGAACGUGUUAGGUUUGUGCCGACAUGAAUAGUAUCUUGAGUAGUUCUGAUUUGCAUUUUUUGGAUCAGAUAGGACUAGAAUGGAUUCUACUUGGGUUUCGGGAUUUGUUGGAAUGGUG